rnacentral:lncRNA from 1 species
CACUGCUGUCAUCGGAGUCAAAGCCACCCUCGAGCAGUCCAACAUGACCAGCAACACUUUUAACUGCAGGCUGAGCCUCUGCUGCCUUAGUUCAGGCAAAGGCAUGGAAAGGUGUGUUUUGGGCAGCCUGGAGCUGCAGGACAUGAACUGAGAGCAUCUUCAUGCUCCAGGUAAAUACAGCUGGGCCAUGUGUCAGAGGCAGAUGAAAAUCAGCCCAAGCAUGAGAUCUCUGCAGGAGACAGCUGGAAGCAACCCCACCACCCACCAAGCUUUGAUGCUAAAAAACUAACAGAAGAAUCAUCUCCUCUUCUUCACAGGCACUACAGAAAAUUCACAGAAGCCUGUCCACCAUUUAAUACAACUGCUGCCCUUCCAGCUGCUGAUUCCAUCUGCUCCUCUCACAGCUCCAGGUGACCACCUGCCACCUUCUGCAGAGAAGUGUAUUUUGGGAUGACACUGCAGACAGGAGAUGCAGGGACAACCUCUGGCAUCAUCAUUUAGCAACAAGCUAGUGCUGGCUUUGGCCUGCUUGCAGAAAGCAUGAAAUAACUGUGUUCACAGCCACUGUGGAGUUUUAGGGAGGAUCUUAACAAGGCAAAGCUAGUGGGAAAGUGUAGUGUCUUUGACAGAAAAAAAAAUAUGAAACAAGUCUUCAAGUGUAAAAGGUUUUUUUCCUGUCUAAUCUAGAUAAAAGAUUGGUAAAAAAAUAGGCAAAUUUAGGAUAAGCCUGAGCCCAGGUUGGCUAUGGAGGAAAGGGAUGUGCAUACAUGACCAUUUAGGUUGUUUUCUUUCUGAGCUCACACAAAAUCUGCUCCCCGUGCAAAGUUUUUAUAGGGACAAGUGAAAAUCAUAACAAGCUCUCUGGAAGCAAAACUCCAUGAACUCCAUGGUUAUUGCAACUCUUUCCUACUUUUUUGUGAUUAGAGCACAUCAUAUCACCUGCCAAACCUUCUGUUGUUCACAGUAGAAGGUCAAAGUGCUUUAAUAAGAAAAGAUACAGCAGAUGUGCUUUGGAUAAAACUGCAUUUUUGAUCUGGCCACAGGCUUUAUGAAUGCCAUUCUAAUUACUUCAUAAAAUCUAACUAAGUUUUAAUCCUACUCUUACUUCUAGAGAUGCACU